GGGGGUAUAGUUUAGUGGUAGAAUAUUGGUUUGUCGUUCCAAAGAUGCAGGUUCAAUUCCUGCUACUCUCG
rnacentral:tRNA from 1 species